rnacentral:misc_RNA from 1 species
AGAGAGAGAGAGAGAGAGAGCAAAUGAGCCAAGAAAAUAACCCUAAUAUUUCAUUAUUUACUCUUACCAAAACAAUGGAACCAAACCUCUCUUUCAAAAACAGUUCAUGAUAUUAAAGUUUUCAGGACAAAAAGGGUUUGUAGUUAUAUUUAAUGAUUUUGUGUUGAUAUACCUAUCAUUGAAGAAACCUUUAUUUUAUGGAGUUUUUGCACUUAACUAAAUUAUUGAAAUGAAUGUUUGUAGUGUAAUAUUGAGAUAACAAUAUCAUUACAAAUGACUAUGUGUCUGUGUGUAUGUGUGGCGUUUCCUAUUUCCUUUUUUGUGCUACUUAGGUUCAUCAUAUAGGAAGGACAAAAGGACACAGCUUAUAGCACCCCAUAUUAAUUGCCACAGUGAAAUUAAAUAUUGUAAACUACAUUCAGAGAGCACAGACCUGAAACUUUCAGACGCAGGAGGGCAGUUUACUAGUGCUGUGCAAGAAAAUUGCCAUACAAAUAGGAAGGAUCAAAGAAGUUUCAGAAACAAAAUUAGGGAGCAUACGACUAUAUGAGGUCCUCACAUGCACAAAAAGGACAAAGAAAGGGCGAAAGAGAUAAAGUGAACAACACUACCUUCCAUCUGUGAAAUUAAGCAUUAACAUAAGACAAGUCCCAUGAAAACAACAAUACCUUCUGUUACUGUUAAAUCUUGUGUCAAAGUGCACCCUUAUAUGACCGAGACAUCCACGACACAAAUGAAAGUUUAUGGGGCCACAAUAUUCUUACAUGAUUAUCCCUCCCAGAUUAUAGUUUUUGGUUAGAGAAGGAAAAUGCAAAACCAAAUUUAAGGCCUUAAAGCAAUCUCAGACUUCAUUUUGAUUGUACAUGAAUCUAAUGUUCUUUUAUUGGUCAUUAGAUACAUAUGUACAAGACAAGAAGGUUGCUGACUCUUAAAAGCACAGAAUGUCUAACAUACAGUAUGUAAUAAAACUGAAAUGCAUAAUUCAUCUAAGAUGACAGAAAGUUAUACAAUGAUUUAACUAUUCACAGGCUGAAAUAAAAUCAACAUAAAUAUAAAUUAUACAUACAACUAAAAACGUAACUUUUGGCAAGCUGAAAGACACUGUUGGGAAAAGGCGGAAUUUUUUAUCUCGAGUUUCUAAUACAAUUCCAUGUAAUUAAUUUGUUUAACACUGCAGACAUGUUUGGCUAGUUGUAGUAAUUCAUUGUCUAUGAACUUUAUCAAUUUUAGUUCUACCUUUUGCAUGGUUGUAUCAAAAUAAAACUGACGUCAAUGGCAAGUAGACAAAGAAAUGGCUAAAACACAAACCUCUGUUGCAAGAAGAGACUUCACAAGCUCCGUUUGUGAUGAUACUUUUAUAGGGUUGCCAUUAAGAAAAGCACCUUUUCCAAGGACGCCAGUAAAAAGCUCAUUUAAAAUUGGGUUGUAAACAACACCUACAGUAGGAACCUUUCCAAUUGUAAGACCAAUAGAAAUGCAGACAAGGGGAAACCCAUGCACGAAGUUGGUUGUUCCAUCAAGAGGAUCAACUAUCCAUGUGGGUUCAUUGGUCAGCUCUGUAGUACCAUAGGCAGCAGUAGUUUCUUCCCCAAUGAACUUGUGUGUAGGGUAGCGGUGCUUGAGAUGAUUAAAAAUGAGAUCUUCACAAGCCUUAUCAGUUUCUGUGACUAAAUCAACCUGGAAUUGAGAAUAAAGCAAAGGUCAUGGGUAAUUACAUGACCAUGUUCAUGGACAUUUAAUGCUCAUGCCAACUUCUAUCCCUCUUUCCUAACCUUCCAACCCCUCACACCCCCACCCCCCAUUUCUCUAAAAGAAAGGAACAGAAAGAACAUUGAUGUAUGAGGAAUUAUAUACUUCAUUAAUUUCAGUGCAGCUUGUGCGGUAUGUACUUUGUUCUGUUGAGUGGAAUAUGCAAGUCAAUAAAUAAAUAAUAGAGGCUCUUAAUAGACUAGAUACAAAAAGAAAAGAGAGAGAGAGAUUUUUAAUUAAUUUCUUUGAGUAAUCAAGCAUCCAAGUUUACUAUCCCAUAAAAAUAAUAAUUAUCCUAACAUUUUCAUGAAUGUAGCCAUUCUUGAAAUAUUAUGAAUCUGCAACAGAAAACUUACAAGCAUUACCUUUACCAUCAUUCUUACGUCUUACCUUCCAAUUUUGAAGAAACUAUUCUAACAUUAAAAUGCAGCAAAAGCACAUCCUAAUACUAUGACCAGCAAUCAUGUCCAAUUGUAUUAGUCAUAUCAUAUAUAAACGUACCAAAAAUGCAUCUGGAUUUUCAAUUACAUUGCCAAGAGUUC